rnacentral:lncRNA from 1 species
GAGACCUCACGAUCACGCACAAUCCACAUUUCCCCAUCAUCACACCCGUAACGAUCCCAACAAACAUCCCUAAUCCUACACCUCACGGCAACACAUACAUUGAUUCUAGCCUUGCUCAAUCUGAUCACUCAUCAAAACACACGACNCNUUUGGCUCACCACUACCUCAUGCCUAACCCGUAACCACCAUUCCUCCAGUAGGUACAAGAAUCCAUCAUCAACCUCUCACACUACCCCCAAUUCCAAUAUUCACUCGCAUAUUACUUUCUAUCAACUCAGCAGUAUCACCCCUGUUGGAAUCAAUUUCCUCCAUCACCUCCAACUCUUGCGCCACUCACCAUCACACCCAACCACCAUAACAGAAACCCAAUCCCCUUCAUACAUGAUAGCUUGUAAAUCAUACCCAAUCGGCAUUGCAAAGAACAAAAAAAAACCACCAACAACAAAAGCCAAUUUCCAGCAAACCAUAAGCUAAGUUCUCACCGUCAUCAACCAAAACCAAAUUCAAAUCCAAUAAGGGACANCCAAUCAGAAACCCAGAGUCGAAAGAGCAAACUGUAAAUUUCCCUUUAAUCCCAUUUCCCUNCAUUCAAACCACAACAGAGAGAUCCAAAUCAGCUUCCUAGCCUCCCUCACGCUUUCCAUCUUCACUGCCAAUAUCCAACCGAAGCAAACGCCCACACCUGCUCCAUUCCCAUGGUGGCCGUGGACGGCGACUAAGGACUCUCAUGGUAGCGGCGCCGCAAANAGAGAAACUCCGAUCGNAGCUUGGCCUUGCAUUCAUGGAAGAUGAUGAGACUAUCGAGGAGAAGUCGAAAGCUAUUGAUGAAGAGAAGGUGAGAGAGGUGUCGAAGAGAGCUCGACGGAGCGGCGACCCUGACUCGGUGGCAGCGGACACCUGCGCGACGAACGGUCAAUGUCACUCACGAACGAGGAGGUUUUCUCCCGCGCAGAGGCGAAAGAGAANAGAGGGUUUGGCGCGACGGCCGGUAGGUUCUGUGGCGGUGGUCGGCACACUGGNGGUGUCUUGCGCUGNAGCUGGCGGCGGCCGUUUAGACGGAGGUGGCAUUGCGUCUGCGUGACCGNAGGUUGCUUNAUUUGGGAGUGAGGCCAAGCACGAAUUAGGGAAAUGAGGGUGGAGCUGUUGGAACCCUNUUUUCUGAACAAAUGGACUUGGGCCUGGCUUUUGGGUCUUAGUUUCUUCCUGCCACCAUGCAUAAUGCCAUUUACACCCCUAUUUUGGUUAGGCUGAAGCCUAUUUUGUUUCUGCAAAAGAAAAAGGACUAUUGGGCCUGGACAGGCUUUGCACCUCUAAUCCGUUUCUGCCAAUAAAAAAAAGAGAAGGAGCUUGGGCCGGCAACUACUGCAUGCCACCUCAACUUCAUUUCCGCACCCCUACCAUCACCUGGACCUGAAUUGAAGAUGAUUGGGUCGCACUCCUGGUUUAUUAUCUCUGCACCCCUAUUCUUAUUGGACUUGGNCUGUUUUUUUAUUGUCUUUGUUUUUUUUAUUUCUUUAGCUUUGGCAUUGUUUUAUUAUUGUGUGUUGUUAUAUCCUUUUCUAAUAAAAAUAAAAAUAUAAAAAUCAUAAAAAGUUAAAAAUCAAUAAAAAUAUUUUGGAAAGAUUUAAGCACACGUGCGANCGCUCGCGUAGGNCUUGUGUUGAAAAUCUUUUCCCUUUCUUUUACAAAAAUAAAAAAUAAAUAAAAAUAUUUUGAAAAGAUUUAAGCACGCGUGCGACCGCUCGCGUAGGCCUUGUGCUGAAAAUUUUUUCCCUUUCUUUUACAAAAAUUAAAAAUAAAUAAAAAUAUUUUGAAAAGAUUUAAUUACACGUGCGACCGCUCGCGUAGGCCUUGUGCUGGAAAUCUUUUCCUUUUUUUUUACAAAAAUUAAAAAAUCAAAUAAAAAUAUUUUGAAAAGAUUUAAGCACACGUGCGACCGCUCGCGUAGGCCUUGUGCUAAAAGUCUUUUCCUUUUCUUUUACCAAAUUUAAAAAUCAAAUAAAAAUAUUUUGAAAAGGUUUAAGCACACGUGCGACCUCUCGCGUAGGCCUUGCGCUAAAAACCUUUUCUCUUUUAUAUAAAAAUACCAAAAAAUAUAAAAUUUUCAAAAGAAACUAAAAACAUCUUCAAACAAUCAAUUUUUCUUAAAGAACUACGUAACCUUGAUUUCUCAGUCCAACUGAGAAUACGUAGGAGCAAGGUCAAUCCUUGUCGGGCACAAAAAACACAAAAAAUAUUUUGUUUCAUUUAGAGUUUUAUUUUGUAGGGGAAAAUUACACAUUUUGCAAACCACAUCAAAUUCGCGUAUUUAAUUAAAGGUACUGCCUUUGGGCAGGCGUGGUAGGGUGCUAACACCUUCCCUACACGUAACCGACUUCCGAACCCAUCUCUGGUUUUCACAGAUCUUGUCUUAUCUUUUUAUGGUUUUUUCCAUAGUUUUCCAAAAUAAACUAUGGUGGCGACUCCAAAACAUUUUUCAAAAUUAUUUUCUUUUUUGGAUCGUCGUGUCCCGUCGCGAUUUUCCGGUUGCGACACUGCUUAUACUUAAUAAAAGAUAUUAGGUUUCCUUUCAUUAUUUUGUCCCUUAUACUUAAAACCCCACAGUUUUUUUUUCUUAGUUGGGCUAUGUUCAUAUCAAAUUUUACCAUCUGAUAUUCAGUUUUUUUUUUUUUUCUUCUAUUCUUUCUUUAUGAAAACUGAUCAGUUUAGCGGAGAAGGCAUUUGAGCAAAUUUUCAGUCAGUCCUGCAUAUUAGGGGUGGUAAAACAUGCCGUUCAUAUUUAAA